rnacentral:rRNA from 1 species
UACGUAGGGAGCAAGCGUUUUCCGGAAUCAUUGGGCGUAAAGCGCGCGUAGGUGGCCCCGUAAGUCCGCUGUGAAAGUCAAAGGCUCAACCUUUGAAAGCCGGUGGAUACUGUGGGACUAGAGUACGGAAGAGGCGAGUGGAAUUCCUGGUGUAGCGGUGGAAUGCGCAGAUAUCAGGAGGAACACCAAUAGCGAAGGCAGCUCGCUGGGACGUUACUGACACUGAGGCGCGAAAGCGUGGGGAGCGAACAGG